UUUCAGAAGCGCGCAACAAAAAAGUGUUCAGGGAUGUUAUGAUUUUAUCGCUUGUUCUCAGCGUUUGAGAAUUAUUCGAGUAGUUACCGUCGAUAGCAAAUAAUUACUUUUGUCAUCCAAUAGUCGUAUGACUAUUAUUCUUCGCAUAGUGCGUUGAAAGACGAGAGGCUAUGGGUUCCAUUUACAUCGGUGAUUUCCCGGAUGAAAUCCUCCUACACAUCUUCUCGUACCUGUCCCGAGAGGAGCUGGCCGCAGGGCCGAGCCACGUGAACCGGCGAUGGCAGGCUGUGUGUAAUGAUGACACACUCUGGCGCGACAGUGACUACGUCGUCGGUGAAAACCAGACUGAUGAAGAGGCCCUGUCGCUGGUGAUGAGCAUGCCACAGCUGCGAGUGCUCAGGCUGCAGCGCAUGCUACCAUCUGGCAUGCUGCAGCACGUGUUCCGCACGUGCCACAGCCUCACCGAGCUCGAGAUACACUGGAGACACAAGCUGUUGCCCUCUGAGCUCAGCUGCCUGGUCGAGAACUGCCCCAACAUAGAGAGGCUUGUAGUGCCUGGCCAGCGAACAACGGUCGAGCAUCUGGAGCUCAUUAGCAAGAUGGAAAACCUGAAGUCACUGCGAUUUGAGUAUCGGACAUUGACGUAUCAGCCUUUCAGGCUGCAACAGCUAGCUGAUGGCUGCCCCAAACUUCGAUGUCUGGAGAUUCCUCUCCAGUUCUGUGCUGGUGAUGAACUGGACAACUUUCUUGCUGUUAAGGCUGGACAGAUAGAAGCACUGGAGCUCCGAUGGAUGACGUCAGAUAGGAGAUGUGUGUUGCCAAUGGUGGCAACUCUGUGUGGUGCAAGUUUGAAACGCCUGACCUUGGGAUGGUAUGACGUGCCUAUCGACAGGAUUGCCAGUGCCCUGUUCUCGUUGCGUGACCUCGUAAACCUGCAGGAGUUGGCGGCACCGUACGCAUAUGGGCUGCCACCCGGUAUACUGGCACAGGUAUUCAGUGGGGCAGCAAUCUGUAGACUGAAGAAGCUGGACUUGCGCAGCAGUGGCCUAGCCGUAGACGACGACGCACUGUUGGCAAUCUGUCGGUCUUGCUUGGAGCUGUGCGAGCUUCUGCUUGGUGGCUGCAGGCAAAUCUCAGAUGCAGGGCUCCAGUUGCUGGGCAGUGGGCUGGAGACACUGGACCUGUCCAACUGCUGCUCGCUGGGUGGAGGCGCUAUCACGGCCAUUGCCAGGUGCUGCCCAGGGCUGCGAAACCUCCAGCUCCAGUGCCAGGACAUGUCCAGAUUACGUCCUGGAUUGCGCCACCUAUUAGGACUUAAAAAGUUAGAGACGCUGGACUUGACUUCCAGCAUUGUGUCCGUCUUGCCACUGGGACUGUUCCCGAAACACCUCCACAAUCUGAGGAUGCUCAAACUCUCCUUCUGUGAGGGAAUUGGCGUAGGCGGCUUACAGGUGUUGCGUACUCUGAUGCCCCAGCUAAAGAUCGUCAUAGGUGACCUUGUUGGGCCAGAGGAUCGUUGAAACUACAAAAGUGCAUAUGCUGACACUGUACCAAGAAUUAUGAAUCCAGUAAACAGGCAACUUGAUAACAUUGAUAUUCAAGGUCAUGCACUUGUAUUCAAGUAAGGAACAGAAACUGCUGGCUGCUUGCAAGUGCACUUGAUCAUAACAGGACUCUGUGGGAAAAGGUUACCAGCAGAGAGUUCUGAAGAAAAAGUUUGUGGAAUUUUCUUGUAGUAGUCAAUUAUACACGGGUCUUCCAUAAUUAUUUUGUAUGUGUUAUGCAGCUUUUGACAAGGAACUUUCAUAUUUUUAAUAUUGUUACCAUUUUUAUAGUGUUUUCAUCAUUGUUGGCAUUUCCCUUGUUAUUGAAAGUAUUGUUGUGAACUUACCUAAUAACACUUAAUGGAAAUGAUCAGAGCAAGAAGACUGUUCAGUCAGCAAUUUUGUUACUUUUUGUAGAGAAAUAAAUGGGAA
rnacentral:misc_RNA from 1 species